CUUCUCUCACUCGAGAUUCGCCGCUUCUUCACUCAAAGCUUUUGAAUUUGCUAGUCGAUUGAUUCUCCAAUGACGAACCAUCAUGGACUCGCGCACCUUUUGGCAUUGUUUGUCCUCGCUCUGUCUUUGACGAUUGGUGAGAACCCAGUCAGAGCCCGCCAACUUUGGAGGCGACCUUGCCCGAAGUGCCCGAACUACCGAAGCCUGAAUUGCCUCACCUUCCUGACAUCCCUAGCUUGCCAAAGCCAGAAUUCCCAUCAUUGCCGAAAGUCAAAUUGCCGCCGCUUCCUGAACUAGCAAAGCCUGAAUUUCCAGCAACACCGAAGCCGGAGUCCUUAGAAGUGCCGGAAUUGCCGAAGCCCGAAUUACCUCAACUUCCUGACAUCCCUAGCUUGCCAAAGACAGAAUUCCCAUCACUGCCGAAAGUCGAAUUGCCGCCGCUUCCUGAGCUACCAAAGCCCGAAAUUCC
rnacentral:lncRNA from 1 species